rnacentral:rRNA from 1 species
UACGGGGGGGGCAAGCGUUGUUCAGAAUUACUGGGCGUAAAGGGCGCGUAGGCGGCGCGGUAAGUCACUUGUGAAACCUCUGAGCUUAACUCAGAACGGCCAAGUGAUACUGCAGUGCUAGAGUGUGGAAGGGGCAAUCGGAAUUCUUGGUGUAGCGGUGAAAUGCGUAGAUAUCAAGAGGAACACCUGAGGUGAAGACGGGUUGCUGGGCCAACACUGACGCUGAUGCGCGAAAGCCAGGGGAGCAAACGGG